rnacentral:rRNA from 1 species
AUUGAACGCUGGCGGCAGGCUUAACACAUGCAAGUCGAGCGGUAGCACAGGGGAGCUUGCUCCCUGGGUGACGAGCGGCGGACGGGUGAGUAAUGUCUGGGAAACUGCCUGAUGGAGGGGGAUAACUACUGGAAACGGUAGCUAAUACCGCAUAAUGUCGCAAGACCAAAGUGGGGGACCUUCGGGCCUCACACCAUCGGAUGUGCCCAGAUGGGAUUAGCUAGUAGGUGGGGUAAUGGCUCACCUAGGCGACGAUCCCUAGCUGGUCUGAGAGGAUGACCAGCCACACUGGAACUGAGACACGGUCCAGACUCCUACGGGAGGCAGCAGUGGGGAAUAUUGCACAAUGGGCGCAAGCCUGAUGCAGCCAUGCCGCGUGUGUGAAGAAGGCCUUAGGGUUGUGAAGCACUUUCAGCGAGGAGGAAGGGUGGUGUGUUAAUAGCACAUCACAUUGACGUUACUCGCAGAAGAAGCACCGGCUAACUCCGUGCCAGCCGCCGCCGUAA